AUCCCUGUAGCGCAAUGGAUAGGGGGCGUUGGACUUCUUAUCCAAAGGUUGUGCGGUCGAAUUUCACCUGGGAUG